rnacentral:rRNA from 1 species
UGGGUGAUCUGCCCUGCACUUCGGGAUAAGCCUGGGAAACUGGGUCUAAUACCGGAUAGGACCACGGGAUGCAUGUCUUGUGGUGGAAAGCGCUUUAGCGGUGUGGGAUGAGCCCGCGGCCUAUCAGCUUGUUGGUGGGGUGACGGCCUACCAAGGCGACGACGGGUAGCCGGCCUGAGAGGGUGUCCGGCCACACUGGGACUGAGAUACGGCCCAGACUCCUACGGGAGGCAGCAGUGGGGAAUAUUGCACAAUGGGCGCAAGCCUGAUGCAGCGACGCCGCGUGGGGGAUGACGGCCUUCGGGUUGUAAACCUCUUUCACCAUCGACGAAGGUCCGGGUUCUCUCGGAUUGACGGUAGGUGGAGAAGAAGCACCGGCCAACUACGUGCCAGCAGCCGCGGUAAUACGUAGGGUGCGAGCGUUGUCCGGAAUUACUGGGCGUAAAGAGCUCGUAGGUGGUUUGUCGCGUUGUUCGUGAAAUCUCACGGCUUAACUGUGAGCGUGCGGGCGAUACGGGCAGACUAGAGUACUGCAGGGGAGACUGGAAUUCCUGGUGUAGCGGUGGAAUGCGCACAUAUCAGAGGAACACCGGUGGCGAAGGCGGGUCUCUGGGCAGUAACUGACGCUGAGGAGCGAAAGCGUGGGGAGCGAACAGGAUUAGAUACCCUGGUAGUCCACGCCGUAAACGGUGGGUACUAGGUGUGGGUUUCCUUCCUUGGGAUCCGUGCCGUAGCUAACGCAUUAAGUACCCCGCCUGGGGAGUACGGCCGCAAGGCUAAAACUCAAAGGAAUUGACGGGGGCCCGCACAAGCGGCGGAGCAUGUGGAUUAAUUCGAUGCAACGCGAAGAACCUUACCUGGGUUUGACAUGCACAGGACGCGUCUAGAGAUAGGCGUUCCCUUGUGGCCUGUGUGCAGGUGGUGCAUGGCUGUCGUCAGCUCGUGUCGUGAGAUGUUGGGUUAAGUCCCGCAACGAGCGCAACCCUUGUCUCAUGUUGCCAGCACGUAAUGGUGGGGACUCGUGAGAGACUGCCGGGGUCAACUCGGAGGAAGGUGGGGAUGACGUCAAGUCAUCAUGCCCCUUAUGUCCAGGGCUUCACACAUGCUACAAUGGCCGGUACAAAGGGCUGCGAUGCCGCGAGGUUAAGCGAAUCCUUAAAAGCCGGUCUCAGUUCGGAUCGGGGUCUGCAACUCGACCCCGUGAAGUCGGAGUCGCUAGUAAUCGCAGAUCAGCAACGCUGCGGUGAAUACGUUCCCGGGCCUUGUACACACCGCCCGUCACGUCAUGAAAGUCGGUAACACCCGAAGCC